rnacentral:rRNA from 1 species
CCUUACAGCCAUGCCACCCUGAACAAGCCUGAUCCUGUCUGAUCUUAGAAGCUAAGAGGGUCGGGCUGGUUAGUACUUGGAUGGGAGACCACCUAGGAAUACCAGGUGCUGUAGGCG